AGCAGCCGCGGUAAUUCCAGCUCCAAUAGCGUAUAUUAAAGUUGUUGCAGUUAAAAAGCUCGUAGUUGAAUUUCGGGACCAGUAUAUUGGUCGUGCUUCGGUACGUACUGCCAUUACCGGUUCCUACCUUCUGAAGAACCGCGAUGUCAUUAAUUUGGUGUCGUGGGGAAUCAGGACUGUUACUUUGAAAAAAUUAGAGUGUUUAAAGCAGGCUCGCGCUUGAAUACAUUAGCAUGGAAUAAUGAAAUAGGACGUUUGAUUCUAUUUUGUUGGUUUCUAGGAUCGACGUAAUGAUUAAUAGGGAUAGUUGGGGGCAUUAGUAUUCAAUUGUCAGAGGUGAAAUUCUUGGAUUUAUUGAAGACUAACUACUGCGAAAGCAUUUGCCAAGGAUGUUUUCAUUAAUCAAGAACGAAAGUUAGGGGAUCGAAGACGAUCAGAUACCGUCGUAGUCUUAACCAUAAACUAUGCCGACUAGGGAUCGGAUGAUGUUAAUUUUUAAUGACUCAUUCGGCGCCUUACG
rnacentral:rRNA from 1 species